UACGGAGGGGGCUAGCGUUGUUCGGAAUUACUGGGCGUAAAGGGCGCGUAGGCGGAUGUUCAAGUCGGGGGUGAAAUCCCGGGGCUCAACCCCGGAACUGCCUCCGAUACUGGACGUCUCGAGGACGGAAGAGGCGAGUGGAAUGCCGAGUGUAGAGGUGAAAUUCGUAGAUAUUCGGCGGAACACCAGUGGCGAAGGCGGCUCGCUGGUCCGUUUCUGACGCUGAGGCGCGAAAGCGUGGGGAGCAAACAGGAUUAGAAACCCCCGUAGUCC
rnacentral:rRNA from 1 species